AUCGAACGCUGGCGGCAGGCCUAACACAUGCAAGUCGAGCGAGCGGCGGACGGGUGAGUAAUGUAUGGGGACUGCCCGAUAGAGGGGGAUAACUACUGGAAAAGGUGGCUAAUACCGCAUACUAUCGGAUAACCCAUAUGGGAUUGGCUAGUAGGUGGGGUAAAGGCUCACCUAGGCGACGAUCGCUAGCUGGUCCGAGAGGCGGAUCGGCAACACUGGGACUGAGACACGGCCCAGACUCCUAGGGAGGCAGCAGUGGGGAAUAUUGGACAAUGGGCGCAAGCCUGAUGCAGCCAUGCCGCGUGUGUGAAGAGGGCCUUAGGGUUGUAAAAUACUUUCAGCGGGGAGGCGGUACCCGCAGAGGAAGCACCGGCUAACUACGUGCCAGCAGCCGCGGUAAUAC
rnacentral:rRNA from 1 species